rnacentral:lncRNA from 10 species
AACUUUCAACAUUCAUUGAUCAUCUUAUUAAUAUCAAGGUCAGCUGUCCAGCUUUGUGCUCUACGUGCUGGGUGGAUGAUGGCUGCUCCCACACUUCCGAGUUACAGUUCCAUCCACAAGGAGGCCACACUCAAAUCUCUCUUAGGUCUGAUCUCACACUUCAGAAUGAGAAAUUCAUUUCAGUUUAAGCCAUCACCGGUUCAAUCAGCUAUGUUCAGGAGAUUGAGGCCAUAUGAUAAAGCAUAGCUAACAGUAAGAGGUAGCCUAGGGAAUUUCUUGGAGAGCAGAGGUUUUCAUGAUCUAGAUGGACUCCAACAUUGCUCAUACAGGAGGGAGUGGAGCUGCAGGUUCAGGUAAGAGGUGAUAAGUCCAAAUGCUCAGAAGUGUUUGUGUGAUAAGGAUCCAGAGUUAGGCAGCUUUUGGUAUUUGUAAUGUGCCAACUCCCAGGUUAAUCAGCUCUCCCACUUGCCUUCAACUCAUUCUCGA